rnacentral:rRNA from 1 species
CCUACGGGUGGCAGCAGUGAGGAAUAUUGGUCAAUGGGAGGAAUCCUGAACCAGCCAUGCCGCGUGCAGGACGACGGCUCUACGAGUUGUAAACUGCUUUUGUACCGGGGUAAAAUGCUCUACGAGUAGGGUUUUGAAAGUACGGUACGAAUAAGGAUCGGCUAACUCCGUGCCAGCAGCCGCGGUAAUACGGAGGAUCCGAGCGUUAUCCGGAUUCAUUGGGUUUAAAGGGUGCGUAGGUUGUUUUAUAAGUUAGCGGUGAAAUACCGAUGCUCAACAUUGGGGCUGCCGCUGAUACUGUAGGACUAGAGAUCGGAUGCAGCAGGCGGAAUGUGUAGUGUAGCGGUGAAAUGCAUAGAUAUUACACAGAACACCGAUUGCGAAGGCGGCCUGCUGGACUGCAACUGACGUUGAGGCCCGAAAGCGUGGGGAGCAAACAGGAUUAGAUACCCGAGUAGUC